AUUGAACGCUGGCGGCAGGCUUAACACAUGCAAGUCGAACGAGUGGCGGACGGGUGAGUAAUGUAUGGGGAUCUGCCUGAUGGAGGGGGAUAACUACUGGAAACGGUAGCUAAUACCGCAUACCAUCAGAUGAACCCAUAUGGGAUUAGCUUGUAGGUGAGGUAACGGCUCACCUAGGCGACGAUCUCUAGCUGGUCUGAGAGGAUGACCAGCCACGGUGGGACUGAGACACGGCCCAGACUCCUACGGGAGGCAGCAGUGGGGAAUAUUGCGCAAUGGGGGCAACCCUGAUGCAGCCAUGCCGCGUGUAUGAAGAAGGCCUUCGGGUUGUAAAGUACUUUCAGCGAGGAGGCGUUACUCGCAGAAGAAGCACCGGCUAACUCCGUGCCAGCAGCGCGGUAAUAC
rnacentral:rRNA from 1 species